GCACUUUUCUUUGGAGUCUCGUGCUGCUCAGGCUCAUGGCAGUGCUCCCUUUGAACUCUCUGUGGUUUGUAGUUCUCACCACUUGCUCAAAAUGAAGCAGAAUGCAACGGUUCAUAUAAUAUUAUGUCUCAGGAAGAGUGUAUGUAACAGUACCCGUGCUGAUAUGAGCCAGUUGACGCUUGGACAUCACAGACCUCUGUAUGGUGCUCCCAGAGGUCUGACAUGUAUUUUGCUAAAUCCUUCCAUCAAUAAAACCCAUGCUGCCUGCUUCUAGAUGGGUGAGAGGAGAAUGAUGGCAAAAGAAUUUGGUAUAUCCUUGCUCCCACCUUCCUGUUCUUGAAAGCACAGGACAUCUGUGGGAGAAAUAUCUCUGGAAGCCUUGAUGGAGAGUACCAACCAGUCUUCAUGUGAAGACACUCUGCGUUCCUCAGCACUUACCCGUGAUCUGCAUCCUUGACUAAUCAUCUCCUUGCGGAGAUGCCAGUGGAAGUGAUUGAGACAAAGGGGCGUAGCAUCAUCUUGAUGCUGAAGAGCUUUCAGAGGAGGUAAGUGUGUGACUUCCCAGCAGAGCAAGUGGAGAAUAAGCAGCUGAAAAAUCUUUCUUCAUUUCUAAGAAAAACAGGAAUGGCCAGGCCAUUGCCGGGUGCUGACAUGUUUGUAUUGUUUGUGUUGCAUUGUUUUGUAAUCAAAAGUCAGUAUUUAUUGGACUAUACUCUCAAAAGGUCUCAUCUCAAAAUACUCUCAUAUCAGAAUCUGUGAUAAGACUAAAAACCCUGAUGGAAACUUAGCCCCAGCAAUUUUUUUUCUGACAUCAGCUCUUCCGUGCCUUAAAGUAUAACCCCAAAGCCCUGAGCUCUCCACUAAGGAGGCUGCAUGUGGGAGCCAGCCAGCAGAGCCUGCUGUGUCCA
rnacentral:lncRNA from 1 species